GACGAACGCUGGCGGCGUGCUUAACACAUGCAAGUCGAACGGAAAGGCCCAGCUUGCUGGGUGCUCGAGUGGCGAACGGGUGAGUAACACGUGGGUGAUCUGCCCCUAACUUCGGGAUAAGCUUGGGAAACUGGGUCUAAUACCGGAUAGGACAAUCGUUUAGUGUCGGUUGUGGAAAGUUUUUUCGGUUAGGGAUGAGCCCGCGGCCUAUCAGCUUGUUGGUGGGGUAAUGGCCUACCAAGGCGUCGACGGGUAGCCGGCCUGAGAGGGUGGACGGCCACAUUGGGACUGAGAUACGGCCCAGACUCCUACGGGAGGCAGCAGUGGGGAAUAUUGCACAAUGGGCGCAAGCCUGAUGCAGCGACGCCGCGUGGGGGAUGACGGCCUUCGGGUUGUAAACCUCUUUCAACAGGGACGAAGCUUUGGUGACGGUACCUGUAUAAGAAGCACCGGCUAACUACGUG
rnacentral:rRNA from 1 species